rnacentral:rRNA from 1 species
GCUUAACACAUGCAAGUCGAGCGAGAAUCGUUUAUUGAAGGCUUCGGCUGGAAAUAGAUGAGGAAAGCGGCGAACGGGUGAGUAACGCGUGGUCAACCUGGCCUUAAGAAAAGGAUAGCCCCCGGAAACGGGGAGUAAUGCUAUAUGAGAAUGAAAGAGGGCAUCCUACUUUCAUUCAAAGCGCGAGCGCUUAAGGAUGGGCCCGCGUAUCAUUAGCUAGUUGGUGAGAUAACAGCCCACCAAGGCAACGAUGAUUAGCCGGUCUGAGAGGGCGAACGGCCACAUUGGAACUGAGAGACGGUCCAAACUCCUACGGGAGGCAGCAGUGGGGAAUAUUGCGCAAUGGAGAAGAACUCUGACGCAGCAAUACCGCGUGAGCGAAGAAGGUCUUCGGAUCGUAAAGCUCUGUUAUCAGGGAAGAAGAAAAUGACGGUACCUGAUGAGCAAGUCCCGGCUAACUACGUGCCAGCCGCCGCCGUAAAAC